GACGAACGCUGGCGGCGUGCCUAAUACAUGCAAGUCGAACGCAGUUGGGACGGGUGAGUAACCCGUGGGUAACCUCCCAUCAGAGGGGAUAACACUUGGAAACAGGUGCUAAACCGAUACUGAUGGAUGGACCCGCGUGGCAUUAGCUAAGGGGUGAGGUAACGGCUCACCAAGGCCACGAUGCAUAGCGGAGCUGAGAGGGUGAGUGGCAAAAGUUGAACUGAGACACGGACCAGACUCCGACGGGAGGCAGCAGUAGGGAAGCUUCGGCAAUGGACGAAAGUCUGACGGAGUAACGCCGCGUGAGUGAAGAAGGUUUUCGGAUGGUAAAACUCUGUUGGUAGAGAAGCGGUAUCUAACCAGAAAGCCACGGCUAACUACGUGCCAGCAGCCGCGGUAAUAC
rnacentral:rRNA from 1 species